UACGAGGGGGGCGAGCGUUGUUCGGAAUUAUUGGGCGUAAAGGGUGCGUAGGCGGUUUGGUAAGUCUGAUGUGAAAUCUAUGGGCUCAACUCAUAGUCUGCAUCGGAAACUGCCGGGCUUGAGUAUGGGAGAGGUGAGUGGAAUUCCUGGUGUAGCGGUGAAAUGCGUAGAUAUCAGGAGGAACACCUGUGGCGAAAGCGGCUCACUGGACCAUAACUGACGCUGAUGCACGAAAAGCUAGGGGGAGCAAACAGG
rnacentral:rRNA from 1 species